GACAGAGGGGGCAAGCGUUGUCCGGACUGACUGGGCGUAAAGCGCGCGCAGGCGGUCUCGGGCGUCGGUGCUGAAAGUCCACCGCUUAACGGUGGGAUGCGUGCCGAUACGCCGAGACUGGAGGGUGGGCGAGGGUGGUGGAAUUGCCGGUGUAGUGGUGAAAUACGCAGAUAUCAGGAGGAACACCGGUGGCGAAGGCGGGUCUCUGGGCAACAACUGACGCUGAGGAGCGAAAGCGUGGGGAGCGAACAGG
rnacentral:rRNA from 1 species